GACAGAGGGUGCAAACGUUGUUCGGAAUUACUGGGCGUAAAGCGCGUGUAGGCGGCAGGGCAUGUCGGAUGUGAAAUCCCGUGGCUCAACCACGGAAGUGCACCCGAAACUGCCCAGCUUGAGUCUCGGAGAGGAAGGCGGAAUGCUUGGUGUAGAGGUGAAAUUCGUAGAUAUCAAGCGGAACACCGGUGGCGAAGGCGGCCUCUGGACGAUGACUGACGCUGAGACGCGAAAGCGUGGGGAGCAAACAGG
rnacentral:rRNA from 1 species